AAGGGACGACAAGACCCUAAAAGCUUUAUUUUUAAGAUAAGUUUGAGUUUAAUACAGAAUAUUGAGUUUAACUGGGGUAGUUUUUUUGUAAAAUCUGAGGUUGUAAAAGGCAUGUAAAGUGGGGUUAGGUCCUUUAGAUAAGGAUAAUUUGAGUGAGUUACUUUAGGGAUAACAGCGUAAUAGUCCUAGGGAGAUCGUAUCUAUGGGAUUGAUUGCGACCUCGAUGUUGAAUUAAAAGAUCAGUGUAGAGCAGAAGCUACAGGGUGAGGGUUUGUUCAACCUUUAAAUUUUUACAUGAUUUGAGUUCAAAUCGGUUUAAGCCAGAUUGGUUUCUAUCUUU
rnacentral:ncRNA from 1 species